rnacentral:rRNA from 1 species
CAGUAGCGUAUAUUAACGUUGUUGCAGUUAAAAAGCUCGUAGUUGGAUUUCUGGCUUUGUGUGCGGCGGUCCGCCGGCAGCUUGUUAAUUCUGAGCGCCGGUUUGUUUUUGUGACUGCCCACCAGCCAACCUCCGGGUACCGGCCGCUGCCCUUAGUUGGGUCGGCGGUGUCUUGGUUUUGCCCGGUCGUUUACUUUGAACAAAUUAGAGUGUUUAAAGCAGGCCGCGUGUGCCUGAAUACAUUAGCAUGGAAUAAUGAGAUAGGACUGCGGUCUUAUUUUGUUGGUUUCUAGGACUGAAGUAAUGAUUGAUAGGGAUAGUUGGGGGUGCUCGUAUUCCGCGGCCAGAGGUGAAAUUCGUUGAUUCGCGGAAGACGAACUAAUGCGAAAGCAUUCACCAAGGAUGUCUUCUUUAA